rnacentral:misc_RNA from 1 species
CAACCCUCAGGCCCUGCCUGGCGUUGGAGGACUGCACUGCAGCCUCCCAAAGCGAGCGGCGGCGGCGCCCCACAACCGAACGUAGUAGUUAUAUUUCGUUUUGGACGUGGGACGUUGUCCAGCCGGAAAACACCCCCUUUUUAAU